rnacentral:rRNA from 1 species
AAAUCAGUUAUCGUUUAUUUGAUAGUACCUUUACUACUUGGAUAACCGUGGUAAUUCUAGAGCUAAUACAUGCUAAAAAUCCCGACUGUUUGGAAGGGAUGUAUUUAUUAGAUAAAAAAUCAAUGCUCUUUGAGCUCUUUGAUGAUUCAUAAUAACUUUUCGAAUCGCAUGGCCUUGUGCUGGCGAUGGUUCAUUCAAAUUUCUGCCCUAUCAACUUUCGAUGGUAGGAUAGUGGCCUACCAUGGUUUCAACGGGUAACGGGGAAUAAGGGUUCGAUUCCGGAGAGGGAGCCUGAGAAACGGCUACCACAUCCAAGGAAGGCAGCAGGCGCGCAAAUUACCCAAUCCCGACACGGGGAGGUAGUGACAAUACAUAACGAUACAGGGCCCUUUCGGGUCUUGUAAUUGGAAUGAGUACAAUGUAAAUACCUUAACGAGGAACAAUUGGAGGGCAAGUCUGGUGCCAGCAGCCGCGGUAAUUCCAGCUCCAAUAGCGUAUAUUAAAGUUGUUGCAGUUAAAAAGCUCG